UACAGAGGGGGCAAGCGUUAUCCGGAUUCACUGGGUUUAAAGGGUGCGUAGGUGGGUCUGUAAGUCAGUGGUGAAAUCUCCGUGCUUAACAUGGAAACUGCCAUUGAUACUAUAGGUCUUGAAUUUUCUGGAGGUAAGCGGAAUAUGUCAUGUAGCGGUGAAAUGCUUAGAUAUGACAUAGAACACCAAUUGCGAAGGCAGCUUGCUACAGGGAUAUUGACACUGAGGCACGAAAAGCGUGGGGG
rnacentral:rRNA from 1 species